GAUAAACGCUGGCGGCGUGCCUAACACAUGCAAGUUGAGCGAGAAAUCACUUAAAGAAGCUUCGGUAGACUUAAGAGAUGGAGAGCAGCGGACGGGUGAGUAACGCGUGGGAAACCUGCCCUUGACAGGAGGAUAGCCGAGAGAAAUUUCGAUUAAUACUUCAUAAAGCAGAGCAUUCGCAUGGAUGAACUGCCAAAGAAUUAUCGGUCAAGGAUGGUCCCGCGUCUGAUUAGCUGGUUGGUAAGGUAGCGGCUUACCAAGGCGACGAUCAGUAGCCGGCCUGAGAGGGUGAACGGCCACAUUGGAACUGAGACACGGUCCAGACUCCUACGGGAGGCAGCAGUCGGGGAAUAUUGCACAAUGGGCGAAAGCCUGAUGCAGCAACGCCGCGUGAAGGAAGAAGGCUUUCGAGUCGUAAACUUCUGUCCAAAGGGAAGAAUAAUGACGGUACCUUUGAAGAAAGCCCCGGCUAA
rnacentral:rRNA from 1 species